rnacentral:rRNA from 1 species
AUUGAACGCUGGCGGCAGGCCUAACACAUGCAAGUCGAGCGGAGCGGCGGACGGGUGAGUGAUGACUAGGAAUCUGCCUGGGCGUGGGGGAUAACGACCGGAAACGGGAGCUAAUACAGAAUACUAUCAGAUGAACCUAGGUCGGAUUAGCUAGUUGGUGGGGUAAAGGCCAACCAAGGCGACGACCCGUAACUGGUCUGAAAGGAUGAUCAGUCACACUGGAACUGAGACACGUUCCAGACUCCUACGGGAGGCAGCAGUGGGUAAGAUUGGACAAUGGGCGAAAGCCUGAUCCAGCCAUGCCGCGUGUGUGAAGAAGGUCUUCGGAUUGUAAAGCAAUUUAAGUUGGGAGGCGUUACCAACAGAAUAAGCACCGGCUAACUCCGUGCCAGCAGCCGCGGUAAUUC